UACGGGGGGAGGCAAGCGUUGUUCGGAUUUACUGGGCGUAAAGGGCGCGUAGGCGGCGCAACAAGUCACUUGUGAAAUCUCCGGGCUUAACCCGGAGCGGUCAAGUGAUACUGUCGUGCUAGAGUGCGGAAGGGCAACUGGAAUUCUCGGUGUAGCGGUGAAAUGCGUAGAGAUCAGGAAGAACAUCGGUGGCGAAGGCGCUCUGCUGGACCUAACUGACACUCAGGGACGAAAGCUAGGGGAGCGAAUGGG
rnacentral:rRNA from 1 species